GGGGGUGUACCGGAUUCGACUUUGGACGACUUUGUGAAUGAAGCGAGCAGUGCUCUCCGGAGGCACUUUAAAAAGCCGGAAAACAAAAUAAAUGCCGAACCUUCGUUCGCACUCGCCGCUUAAAAACCGGUGACGUCCCCUUAGAUGGUCGCGUCGACAUCUAAACGGGGCGUUAUAAACAGACGCUCACUCCUUUCGGCUCUUCUUGAGGCUCUUGGAGGACAUCAAUCAAGAAAACGGUAGUGAAGUCCGUCGGGUGGCACCACUACUGAUCAAAAACCCGACUGCGCUCGGAGAAGAAUCAUGAAAGCGCCAAGGGACGCGGGUUCGACUCCCGCCACCUCCACGG
rfam:Ferrimicrobium acidiphilum DSM 19497 strain T23 FEAC_contig000008, whole genome shotgun sequence.